AGUUUGUCUUUCACUACGCAUUGAGUGGAGAAGCUUGGAAUCUUGUAUUUGACCGUAAGACAGCUUUUACUUAUAAGAAAGAUUAUGGGAAAGAUGAUGGAACGGCUAAUGUAACCAUCUCUAAGAGAAGUCGUUCUGCAGAAGAACUCAGUGGAAGUGGCGCUUCUUGGAUCACUGAACAAACCAGGAGGCGUGCAGAAAAUGCCAGGCGGUUUGGAGGGGUACACUCGUCGUCAAGCAUUUAGAAUCGGUGAUCAAGCUCAAACAAAUUGACCCAAAGAUGAUCGGUGCAGCUCACACCAUUUAAAACACUCAUGAUUUUUACCUAACUCAAAAUCUAUAUAUAUAUAAAAUAAUAGCAAACCAUUUUUUUGGGACUGCUGAUGUCAUCUUUAUAAUCGAACGGUUGAGGUUUGUCUUUUUCUUAAUCUAAGGGCUGUGGUUUUUCUUUCUCUCAAAAAUUCGCUAAAACUCACUAAACCUAAGGAUAUGUCUUUCAAUCGCGACAUUUUGUUCACGUCUAAUGUGAAG